rnacentral:rRNA from 1 species
CCCUUAGAUGCUCUGGGCCGCACGCGCGCUACACUGGUCGAUGCAACGAGUUUCUUUCCUUGGCCGACAGGCCUGGGCAAUCUUUGAACAUCGAUCGUGAUCGGGAUAGAUUCUUGUAAUUUUUGAUCUUAAACGAGGAAUUCCUAGUAAACGCAAGUCAUCAGCUUGCAUUGAUUACGUCCCUGCCCUUUGUACACACCGCCCGUCGCACCUACCGAUUGAAUGGUCCGGUGAAAUCUCCGGACUGGCGUGAGUCGGAGCAAUCUGACAAACGCCGGAAAGUUGAUUAAACCUUACCAUUUAGAGGAAGGUGAGGUCGUAACA